UCUGGAAUGUAGACGCGUACUCUCUCGACUCUUCCCCAGAUCGAGCUCUUCUAUGGAUUUCCUCCCUACCCAACACAAUCUUCACCUCCACCUUUCUCCCCUGGAGCUUCUUCCUCUAUACCCUAUCUUCACGGAAGGGAUGACCUAGGGUUUCGCCAGUCCCGCCCGUCCGCCGCCACGACCAUCGGCGAUGCGCCACAAGGCGUACCUGGAGGAGCAGCGCCGGGUGCGUCACCAUGCGUUGGUGAUAGCCAGACCGAGGGGGCCGACGCCGGCUGGAGGAGCACAUCACGCUCCUGGUUGUGUUGCUGGGAGUCCCCGCUGCUGACAGCCCGCGUCUGCCGGACCGCUCCCUCCUCCCCUCGGUUUCCUCUCUCCUGUCUCCUCCCUCUCAUCCAAAAACAGGCGCAGCGGGGGCGGAGACGGUCUGGACGGUGACCAGAUCGGGGCGGCGACGAGGAUGGAGAUGCUGCGAUACCAUCUGAGCUCGAUCUCCGCUGUUGGAAUUUUCGUUUUCUUUUUUGUUCACAUGCUUUUACUUUUCUGUUCAUGUUUUUCCUGUCAAUUUUGGGGAUUUUUGUUUCGUGAAAUGGGCAUAUCAAAUUGGCAACUAGAUAGAUCGUUGGAGUACGGGCAGUGCAUCAGGCCAGGGCUGCAGAGGAUCAAGUGGCUACAGAGAAGAUGGAGGAACAGAUGGAUGCCGCAUAUUGUCAGCCUGAAAGCAUACAACUUUCGGAUAGAUCUGUAUAAUUUCGUUUGAGUGCCGUUGUUGGAUUCUGUUGUUGGGGCUAAAGGAGCUGUGGAUCUGAGCUCUUUGUAGCUAACAUGCCUUCAUAUACGCGCACGGUGUUCACUGAAAUGCAAGGAAGACAUAAUUGAGUGUGUUCCUCAGAUCAUAUGUGAUUACUGAUGCAUUUUCACUGUGGCUGUAUAGAUAAGAAAACAAGAGAUACGGAUAUGGAUGUCUGCUAUUGAAUAUGGUGUGGCCAUUCACAGGCUUAAGAUCUGAUUAGCAGUGUUCUUGGGGUAUGAUUAGGUUGUCUUGCUGAUAACCCAUCCGGAUGAUAAGACUGUUUUGCUAACCAUGGACAAUCCUGCAACUGAGGGAAAACAAUGAAGAAAUUUGAGCUGCAUUUGAGCAAUGUAUUGUAUUUAGCAUGAAGGAAAAUUGCAACAGAUUCUUGAGGGACCAUGAGCCCAACUGACAUACUGCCUCCUAUCGCCAAGAAUUGCACAACAUUCUCAUCUAUGGGAGGUUUGAAGAACAAUCAUUUGUAUGAGGCCACAUACACUGCCAUUUCUUUUGUGGUUAGACGCUCAGACAACUACAAAAAUUAUGGAAAGCGAUAUCUGGAUGAGGUUUCUGGCGACUAUGGUCAAGGUACUCAGGGCUACAGGAUCAUGGGCACCGAUAUAUGGCUCACUUGGAGCAUGUUUGUGAGUUUAUCCCUUCUAAUGUACGCGCUCAAUUCUUGAUGUAUGGGUACAAGGACACAGAGCUCCAGCUCCUGAACAUUUUACUCUAAAAGACUUAAGCUUUUAUCCUGUCAUAAAUGGUAGAAGUGAACUGUAUGUAGUAUGGCAGUGUGUAUUGCUACUAGAA